CCUAACUAGGGCCCGCUGUUGCAGCUUAUAUACAACAGGAUGUUGCAGAUUACAUAAUAGAAAAACAGAAAAUAGAGUACCGCACAUCAGGGCCAGCCUUCACCCCAAAUGAUUUUGCCCUCUGCUGACUGUAGGUCUCCUUGUGCCUGCGUUCCUGGAGAAUGUUGGAAGAGGAGACUACAUAUCCUUGGGAGGGAGAUGCCAAGUCACCUAAUUAUGGUUUUGCCACUUGGAAACCAGUUCCUACAUCCCACGGCUUGGCACUGCAUCUGGGUAUGGAAGAGUAGAAGAAGCCAAAAUCUUUGGAGUUGGGCUGGUGCAUGGAGCUGGGGCAGCUUCUGCCUCGGGGGAGGUAAUAGAGGCUGGCAUAUCCCAGCCCAAACACAGGGUUGGGUGUGGUGGCAGAGGCAGCCAUGUAGUUCAAGAAGGUGAGGCAAGGACAGAACUCUCUGAGCAUCUGAGUGAGCAGAAGGCAGGUGAGUUUGUGCAAACCUGGGAAGACACAUAAAUCAGGUCCAGAACAGUCUUCCCAUUGUACCAUUCAGAUCCCUUCAUACCCUCUUGUGUUACCAUAAUGCGGG
rnacentral:lncRNA from 9 species